UACGAGGGGGGCAAGCGUUGUUCGGAAUUAUUGGGCGUAAAGGGUGCGUAGGCGGCGCGGUAUGUCUCUUGUGAAAUCUCCAGGCUCAACUUGGAGUCUGCAAGGGAAACUGCCGUGCUUGAGUACUGGAGAGGUGAGUGGAAUUCCCGGUGUAGCGGUGAAAUGCGCAGAUAUCAGGAAGAACACCAAUGGCGAAAAGCAGCUCUCUGGGACGGUACUGACGCUGAGACGCGAAAAGCGUGGGGAGCGAACAGG
rnacentral:rRNA from 1 species